rnacentral:rRNA from 1 species
UACGUAGGGUGCAAGCGUUAAUCGGAAUUACUGGGCGUAAAGCGUGCGCAGGCGGUUUUGUAAGUCAGAUGUGAAAUCCCCGGGCUUAACCUGGGAACUGCGUUUGAAACUACAAGGCUAGAGUGUGGCAGAGGGGGGUGGAAUUCCACGUGUAGCAGUGAAAUGCGUAGAGAUGUGGAGGAAUACCGAUGGCGAAGGCAGCCCCCUGGGAUAACACUGACGCUCAGGCACGAAAGCGUGGGGAGCAAACAGG